rnacentral:lncRNA from 1 species
UGCAUUCUUACAAGACAUUUGUUUAAAUUUCUUCAAGCACAUGCAGAUAUUUGAUGAUCUUUUAUAAGAAAAAAAUUUUUUUAAAAAAAGAAAAAUUUAAGGUAGCCUCAAAAAUGUGUCUUUAUGGUAUCGUAGUCAUCAAUUUAAUUCCACAGUUCUAGGUCUUGGGCCUUCAUGAGAUAAUACUGGAAGUCCACUCAAAGGGAAUGGGAUAAUUCUGAUGCCCUAAAGAAAAUUCAAAUGUAAUCAGACUGUUUGGAAGGUAGUAAACAUGUAAAUCAUAUGUUCAGUAUAAAAUGUCAGCAUUUUGUUAGGGUUACCCGAGCACUCCUAUCCAUCCUGAAGUACCCAUCAUUCUGUUCCUUGUGCCUCUGUGAUGCUUUCCUCUUUCCCCAGUAGGACACUGGGCACUGGAUGCAUGUCAGUUCCUUCUGUCCACCAAGCUUGCCCUAGAGCAGAGCUGAGCUUUUAAAGCCCUGUUCUUUGCACAGAACAUGACUCAUCAUAGGUUCUCAGCGAACGCCUAGAGAAGUGACUAUCAAUCUGUUUUGACUGAAAUUCAGUCUCAAAUACAUUUUAAGUAUGACACAGUAGAUGCACAGGGAUGACUCUGUAUAAAUUGGAACAAAAGUUUUGUGAAAAAAAAAUAGUUAAUCUUUCUAUGUACCAUCCAUAGAUAUUUCCUAGUUUACUUUGUUUCAUUUUUUAAAAAUAUUGGUCAAGACCAUUAAAUUGAUUCCAAACUUACUAACUAUGCUUUUAAAUUGUAGAAAUUACCCAGAUGCCAAUGAUCAGUUAAUUGGCUUACUUAGGAUUGGUACAAUACAAAAAUAAUCUUUCAAAUAUUGGUUUCCCUAGAAUCUGUUAUGGUUACUGUUGGUAGGUAAGAAUUAUUACUAUGAAUGUUCCGUCAACUUCCUACCAGCCGAUUGCCCACUUAAGAAGGCAGGACAGUGUCAGGCCCCACAUUGUUUAUUCCCUGCUGUCCUCUACAGUUACCUGUGUUAGUCCCUUGUACUCUCUGAAGAUCCUUGGGCCAAUUCUGAAGAACAAAAUGAACAGAAAGCUGCUCCGCCCACGGAGCCCAUGGCUUCUCUUGCUCUACUCCCUUGUCCCCUGGCAAAGAAUAAGCAGCAGCUUCACUCUCAUUUGAACCCAGGUCAGUUCCGUCCUGCGGCCUCCUGUGCUCACAGCGUGGCAGCUGCCUGUUUAAGGUUAUGGCGAGGGAAGAGAUUAUUCAUGUCAGGCACCUGAGUCCAGGGCGGAGACUGGAUGACUCAGGUUCAGGAUUGCAGCCCCCACCCAGCUCACAUUAAUCAAAUGGAAUUUAAAUUAAGAGCCCAGGAGAUUAAAG